GGCAUCACACUUGGAGACUAUGUUUGGGGAGCGGUGGCUAUCCCAUUGUCCUUGGGAGCAGACUGUUUAGUAGAGAAGAAAGAAAGAAGAAAAGACGGCAUAUCUCUGAAGGCCCGGGAGACAAACUGUUAUCUGAGCAUCAGUAAACCUGAAGACUUCACUAUGCCAUCCUGAAAUUUUCCAACAGAGCAUGGCUCCAAAAGGUCCAUGAAGCUGGAAGAGUACCUAGAUGCAGCAUUGCAGCCCCUCCAGAUGUGUGAGGAGAGUCUUCUGGAGAGAAAGUGAUCCUCUUGCAUUAGCUUCUGGGAGGCUCAAAGAAUGGAGUGACUCAUCAUAGUGUCUGCUGCGUCAUCAGGAAAGAGGGUGCCCAAGGGACAGAGGCUAGACUGGGAUUUGAAGUUUCUGGAUUCUAACCACACUGGCUGUCUCUACAUGGGGCUGCAUCUUGAUUGUGGUUUAUAGGUAAUCACUUAAUUUCACGAUCUUUGCACAUUUUCCUUUCAAAAAUGGCAACAAUUAUCCUUUAUUCUUCCAUCUCCCUUCUAGGAUAUGGCAAAGAGUCAUUAUUAUUAAAAAAAAAAAAAAAGAAAUUGAAAAAAAAAAAAGAAAUUGUCAAUCUGUCCAGAGGUAUUUGCUAUAUAAAUACAGAAAACAAUUCUCAUGAUUUCCUUUGCCUUUGGGGCUGUGCCUGUAGGGUAAGUAGGCACUUUCUCAAUGAAGGGGGCGUUUUGAAAUUCCUUCCAAAGAAGUCUGGCAUUCAUUCUAAAUUGACCUGGAGGCUGAGGAGCCCUGGAGUUUUUCCAGCUAGUUCAAACUCUGCCAGAAGUCACUGCCUGCAAACAGCCUACCACAGUCUUGGGAAUGAACUCUGA
rnacentral:lncRNA from 1 species